rnacentral:lncRNA from 1 species
UUUAAGUUUAUGAUCUUAAUGUGAAGGAUUUGAAAUGCAUGAUUUAUGGCUUGAAAUUUGUUUACUCAAAUACCAUAGUAUUUUGAGCAUGAUUUAGAGAUUUAAGAGAGGGAGUUUCUUGAUGUAAAUAUAUUUUGUUAAAAGAGAAAGAUUUGCAUGAGAUUAAGAGAUUUGACAUGACCACCUUGCAUCAUUGAAAGUUUGACAAAGAG